GACGAACGCUGGCGGCGUGCUUAACACAUGCGAGUCGAACGGUAAGGCCCUUCGGGGUACACGAGUGGCGAACGGGUGAGUAACACGUGGGUGAUCUGCCCUGCACUUCGGGAUAAGCCUGGGAAACUGGGUCUAAUACCGGAUAGGACUCCUGGCUUCAUGGUUGGGGGUGGAAAGAUUUUGCGGUGUGGGAGGGGCCCGCGGCCUAUCAGCUUGUUGGUGGGGUAAUGGCCUACCAAGGCGACGACGGGUAGCCGGCCUGAGAGGGUGACCGGUCACACUGGGACUGAGAUACGGCCCAGACUCCUACGGGAGGCAGCAGUGGGGAAUAUUGCACAAUGGGCGCAAGCCUGAUGCAGCGACGCCGCGUGAGGGAUGACGGCCUUCGGGUUGUAAACCUCUUUCAGCACCGACGAAGCGCAAGUGACGGUAGGUGCAGAAGAAGGACCGGCCAACUACGUGCCAGCCGCCGCCGUAA
rnacentral:rRNA from 1 species